rnacentral:lncRNA from 1 species
AACGGUGGACACUUACGCUGUACACUUCAGCAAACGCGUGUGAGCGAGGCAAAUGCUGCGCCGUGGUGUAACUUAGCUACGUGGCCUUUGUCGCUGGUGCUCUUCUUGGCUGGCGAAGUGCUGCCCUGCGAACCUGAACUGAAGCAAAGCCUGCAACUAACGG